AUUGAACGCUGGCGGCGUGCUUAACACAUGCAAGUCGAUCGGUAACAGGUGUAGCAAUACAUGCUGACGAGAGGCGGACGGGUGAGUAAUGCUUGGGAAUCUGCCUAUUAGUGGGGGACAACCCGGGGAAACUCGGGCUAAUACCGCAUACGCUCUACGGAGGAAAGCCGGGGACCGCAAGGCCUGGCGCUAAUAGAUGAGCCCAAGUCGGAUUAGCUAGUUGGUAGGGUAACGGCCUACCAAGGCGACAAUCCGUAGCUGGUCUGAGAGGACGACCAGCCACACCGGAACUGAGACACGGUCCGGACUCCUACGGGAGGCAGCAGUGGGGAAUAUUGGGCAAUGGGCGCAAGCCUGACCCAGCGACGCCGCGUGGGUGAUGAA
rnacentral:rRNA from 1 species